rnacentral:lncRNA from 1 species
UUUUCUUUUGCGUGUGUGUUAUUUUAAAAAACCUAGAAGAGGGAGAGGAGCCUGCCAAGGCCCAAGGACCAGCCGGCCCCCCAACCCUAGCAAGCCCGUGUGCCCGAUUCCCUCGUCCUCCCCGUGCGUCGUUUCCUCCUCCUCCCGAUCUUGUCCCAUCUCCCUCUCCCCCGAUUCCCCUCUCCUCCACCUAGGUCCCCGGAGUCGUGCUCGCAUCCCCU